rnacentral:lncRNA from 1 species
GGCAGAGAAGAAGAAGAAAUCGGCAGAAAGAAAAAGGGAAAGAAAAGAGGGAAGAAAAUGAGAAAAAGUAGAAGAAAGGGAAGAAAGGAGGAGGAGGAGAAGAAGAAGGAACGAGGUAGUUAAAUGUUGAUUUUCAUUUUCCCUUCCCUUUAUUCUCUUCAAGAGGUACAAAAAUUUUAUGUUAAAUUGCUAGGGUUUAAUUUGUAAUUAAAUUUUCAGAUUUUGAGAUGAAUACUACUUGGAGCUCAAGUUCUUGAUUUUUUAAUUUCCAUAUACACUAAGGUAAAGAGAUAUCAUUUUUUUUUUGGGCAAACCCUAGUUUUUAAAUUUUAUGAUUGAGUAUGAAUUAUUUAUGGAAAAGAUUACAUUAAUGGAAUCAUUCACUUAGAAGAAUGAUUUUGGGGAACAAUAGAUAUAUUAAUUUGGUUGCAGUAUGAUUACUAGUUUUUCAUUAGAAUGAAAGGGAUACAUAUUGGAAUGAUUGGAAUGAUGUUAAAUUUGGAUAAAGUACUCACAUGUGAAGGUUUUAGAAACUAAAAUUAGCUCCAAUUGAUUAAAGGAAAUUUAGGAAAAUUUCGGAAAGUUUAGUUUAAAUAUUAUAUCGUUAGAGAUAAAGGUUUCUUGAUUUUAAUAGUGGUUAAAUUAGUUAUUUUGUAACGUAUUUUAGGUGGUGAUGACGAAAUUGAAAAAGCUUACCGAUUGGCCUAAUAUGUAACUCGUAUUGAGUGAGUGAAUAUAAACUUAUUUUUAGAAAUUAGUAUUUAAUAAAUUUAUAUUAAAUCGGAAAAUUUAUUAUUUCAUGCAGUUGAUUUGAUAGAAUGAUUUCCAGAAUGAGAUUGAUUUAUAAACAAUUUUUUUUGUAAAGCUAAAUAUAGUUCAGUUCAUUUAAAUUAUUUGAUUAGCAUGUUAUAUGAGUAUUAAAUAUUUCAGUACAUUUAAAAUUAUUUUAAAACCAUCAGAAAGUACCCAGGUGACUUUACCCUAGUUCGCACUUGUGUGAAUGUGUUUUCACAGUGUAUGACUCCAUAUGGUUAUUUUAUCCAUUCUGCACUGGUGUGAAUGUGUUUCCACAAUGUAUCACCAGUUAUGGUGAUUUUACCCGCUCUGCACUAUUGUGAAUGUGUUUUCAUAGUGUAUGACCAAAUAGCUCCGCGCACGUAUGAUCAGAAUUUCAGAAUUACAGAAUUGAAUAGCUUUGCCAUGUCUAUUGGUGUUAACCGAUACAUGAGUAUAGUUACUCUGGGUACCUUUUUGGUGUGAUUUUUCAGUAUUAUAUAGCUUAAUAGAUUUCAGAAUACAAAAUUUAGCUUAUUCAGUUGAAAGAAUAAAGAUUUUAGCUUAAAACACCGUGUAAUGAUAUUUUAUUAUAAACCAAUUUUUAGUAAAUUAAAAUAAAUGAAAAAAGUAUAUUUGUUUACAAAAUUAUCCACUCACUGAAUUACAAUUUCAUAUAUUUCAUUUCCCUUUUUCUUAUCAGACAGUAGCUAUGUUGAGUCGCAUCGGAGCCUGUUGAAUUACCAAAUUGAGCCAGUCAAUUGUUAUUCGUAUGUUUCUUUUUGUCAGUUUAUACAGUUCAUAAAUUUUGGGGUAGAUGUAUUUUUUGUCAGUUUAUAUCAUGGGCUCACUACAUAUUUUUCUAUAAGUAAUUCAUUUGGAGUCCUUUAGUUUGUAAAGAAGUAUAAAAUUCAUUCCAAC